rnacentral:rRNA from 1 species
GACGAACGCUGGCGGCGUGCUUAACACAUGCAAGUCGAACGGAAAGGCCCUGCUUUUGUGGGGUGCUCGAGUGGCGAACGGGUGAGUAACACGUGAGUAACCUGCCCUUGUCUUUGGGAUAACUUCAGGAAACUGGGGCUAAUACCGGAUAGGAGCUCCUGCUGCAUGGUGGGGGUUGGAAAGUUUCGGCGGUUGGGGAUGGACUCGCGGCUUAUCAGCUUGUUGGUGUGGUAGUGGCUUACCAAGGCUUUGACGGGUAGCCGGCCUGAGAGGGUGACCGGCCACAUUGGGACUGAGAUACGGCCCAGACGCCUACGGGAGGCAGCAGGGGGGAGUAUUGCACAAUGGGCGGAAGCCUGAUGCAGCGACGCCGCGUGCGGGAUGACGGCCUUCGGGUUGUAAACCGCUUUCGCCUGUGACGAAGCGUGAGUGACGGUAAUGGGUAAAGAAGCACCGGCUAACUACGUG